rnacentral:tRNA from 1 species
UCCCUGGUGGUCCAGUGACUAAGAUUCUGAACUCCCAAUGCAGGGGGAUCAGGGUUCGAUCCCUGGUCAGGGAA